rnacentral:rRNA from 1 species
AGAGUUUGAUCAUGGCUCAGAUUGAACGCUGGCGGCAGGCCUAACACAUGCAAGUCGAGCGGAUGAGGGGUGCUUGCACCCCGAUUCAGCGGCGGACGGGUGAGUAAUGCCUAGGAAUCUGCCCGAUAGUGGGGGACAACGUUUCGAAAGGAACGCUAAUACCGCAUACGUCCUACGGGAGAAAGUGGGGGCUCUUCGGACCUCACGCUAUCGGAUGAGCCUAGGUCGGAUUAGCUAGUUGGUGGGGUAAAGGCCCACCAAGGCGACGAUCCGUAACUGGUCUGAGAGGAUGAUCAGUCACACUGGAACUGAGACACGGUCCAGACUCCUACGGGAGGCAGCAGUGGGGAAUAUUGGACAAUGGGCGAAAGCCUGAUCCAGCCAUGCCGCGUGUGUGAAGAAGGUCUUCGGAUUGUAAAGCACUUUAAGUCGGGAGGAAGGGCUGUAGGUUAAUACCCUGCGGUUUUGACGUUACCGACAGAAUAAGCACCGGCUAACUUCGUGCCAGCAGCCGCGGUAAUACGAAGGGUGCAAGCGUUAAUCGGAAUUACUGGGCGUAAAGCGCGCGUAGGUGGUUUGGUAAGUUGGAUGUGAAAGCCCCGGGCUCAACCUGGGAACUGCAUCCAAAACUGCCUGACUAGAGUACGGUAGAGGGUGGUGGAAUUUCCUGUGUAGCGGUGAAAUGCGUAGAUAUAGGAAGGAACACCAGUGGCGAAGGCGACCACCUGGACUGAUACUGACACUGAGGUGCGAAAGCGUGGGGGAGCAAACAGGAUUAGAUACCCUGGUAGUCCACGCCGUAAAACGAUGUCGACUAGCCGUUGGGCUCCCUUGAGAGCUAGUGGCGCAGCUAACGCAUUAAGUCUACCCGCCUGGGGAGUACGGCCCGCAAGGUUAAAACUCAAAGGAAUU